rnacentral:rRNA from 1 species
ACGCUGGCGGCAUGCCUUACACAUGCAAGUCGAACGGCAGCACGGGAGCAAUCCUGGUGGCGAGUGGCGAACGGGUGAGUAAUAUAUCGGAACGUGCCCAGUCGUGGGGGAUAACGUAGCGAAAGCUACGCUAAUACCGCAUACGAUCUACGGAUGAAAGCGGGGGACUCGCAAGGGCCUCGCGCGAUUGGAGCGGCCGAUAUCAGAUUAGGUUGUUGGUGAGGUAAAAGCUCACCAAGCCUGCGAUCUGUAGCUGGUCUGAGAGGACGACCAGCCACACUGGAACUGAGACACGGUCCAGACUCCUACGGGAGGCAGCAGUGGGGAAUUUUGGACAAUGGACGCAAGUCUGAUCCAGCAAUGCCGCGUGCAGGACGAAGGCCUUCGGGUUGUAAACUGCUUUUGUACGGAACGAAACGGUCUGCUUUAAUACAGUGGGCUAAUGACGGUACCGUAAGAAUAAGCACCGGCUAACUACGUGCCAGCAGCCGCGGUAAUACGUAGGGUGCGAGCGUUAAUCGGAAUUACUGGGCGUA